CUUUAUUGUAAAGUUAAAGGGGUCUGAGGAGCAUUUGACGGGUGUACUCAACGGGAAGCCCUCUAAGUGGUUGCGUAAGCAAGCAUCUUUCCAGGUGCCUGUCUACAUAGACAGUGAGGAAGAGCAAGAUAUCCCUUUGCUUAUCUUAAAGACGUACUGCACAGGACACCAACAAAACUGAGGUUUACAGAUGAAGUGCAGCUUAUCUGUGAUGUCCUUUUUCCAGAGGCCAUCAUACAUGCUCUGGGGGUCUUGAGGGGUUUGUCUUUAGAUGAUGCUGAGCAGGUCUACCUUUCUGGCACAAAAUAUCAUUACAGUGAAGUAGAAUAAUUUAGUCGAAAAAUUGACAAAAAAUCUAGGAAAGAAGGGAGACCAUUCAAUAGGUGGGUAUUGCUCUUAUAUACCUAAAAAUUUGCAGCUGGCAGUUGGGUGUCCUUUUUGGUUCUCCUAACAGUGCAUAAGUUUAAACCAGAAAUAUAUAUUACAGUUAAACAUGGUAAAAUAUAUUUUUUAUUACUUAUAAUAAAUAUUAAUUUAAAUUUAAUUGCAUAAC